GCUGGGCACAGUGAGGCACGCCUGUAAUCCCAGCAACUCUGGAGGCUGAGACAGAAGGAUCGCAAGUUCAAGGCUAGCCUCAGCAACUUAGUGAGACCCUGUCUCCA
rnacentral:sRNA from 1 species